rnacentral:snoRNA from 1 species
UAUUAUUUAACCAUAGCGAUUUAAGCAUUUAUACUUUAAAACUAGCUAUCGUGGAGAUAUUUAAAAUGUGAUAAAAUACUUAUGCUAAUG